UACGUAGGGGGCAAGCGUUGUCCGGAAUCAUUGGGCGUAAAGAGCGCGUAGGCGGUCCGGUAAGUCCGCUCUGAAAGUCCGGGGCUCAACCCCGGGAGGCGGGCGGAUACUGUCGGGCUAGAGUCCGGAAGAGGCGAGUGGAAUUCCUGGUGUAGCGGUGAAAUGCGCAGAUAUCAGGAAGAACACCCGUGGCGAAGGCGGUUCUCUGGGACGGUACUGACGCUGAGGUGCGAAAGCGUGGGGAGCAAACAGG
rnacentral:rRNA from 1 species